AGAGCGAACGCUGGCGGCAUGCUUAACACAUGCAAGUCGCACGGGCAGGGGCAACCCUGUCAGUGGCGGACGGGUGAGUAACGCGUAGGUAUCUAUCCUUGGGUGGGGGACAACUGUGGGAAACUACAGCUAAUACCGCAUGAUAACUGAGGUUUAAAGGCGCAAGUCGCCUGGGGAGGAGCCUGCGUACGAUUAGCUUGUUGGUGGGUAAAGGCCUACCAAGGCGACGAUCGUUAGCUGGUCUGAGAGGAUGAUCAGCCACAUUGGGACUGAGACACGGCCCAAACUCCUACGGGAGGCAGCAGUGGGGAAUAUUGGACAAUGGGCGCAAGCCUGAUCCAGCAAUGCCGCGUGUGUGAAGAAGGUCUUCGGAUUGUAAAGCACUUUCGACGGGGACGAUGAUGACGGUACCCGUAGAAGAAGCCCGGCUAACUUCGUGCCAGCAGCCGC
rnacentral:rRNA from 1 species